CCAUGUGUGCAGAUGAACAGCAAACUCAAGUGUGUUUACAUGUGUAUCAGAAUUAAUGAAAUGGUUUGUUCUCAGCACAUUUCAGGAUUUGUUAUAGUUUUCUUCUUUUUUUACAUCAUAAUUUGAGACAGAAAUCCUUUAUGACAGAAAUCUUAUGCAGCACUUGUAUGGCUUUUGGCAAGACCAAGGAGCUCAAUAACUUAGAGACAUACAUUAAAUAGUAAUUAUGAUCCAGUAUUCAACUGCAAACUUGUAGUCAGUACACAAAGAGGAAGAAGUGGGGAAAAAGAAAUCUGUGCGUCUCGCAUUGGAACCUAAGGGCAGAGGUGGGAGAGAGCUAUAACUGGACAUCUGAAGACACUGAGUGAUUGGUGACUGUGAUGGCAGGCAGGCACAAUUGGGAAACACGCCAUGCCAUGCCUUUCUAGUGCCAAACACCUUCCAACCACAACACUGACAGAGAAGUCCCAAACAGUGGAGCAAGAAUGGUGUGAGUCCCACAAAGCAGGUGCAAAAACGAACAAUCAAGUUUUCUGCUGUGUACAGACUUUCCCCCUCCCUAAUCCAAGGUCAAAGUGAUGAGUUUUGAAAGGCUUUGGGGACACUUUUUAAAACAUCUUGGAACUUGUCAAGCUUUACUGGAGGUGAUUUGCAUUAAUUAAUUCAACAGACCCUUUAAUCUCACAAAUCUUUGACUUGUAAUAUGGUAGCCAAGCUACUGCAAGGGGCAAUUAAGCAGUUAGUAGAAAGGAGUACUCGUUCAGUGUUGUGCCCAGGCCAGAAGAAAGAGACCUCUAUGAAGUAGAGCAUUGAUGAAAUUGUACUACCUUCUUCCUCCUCAUUCAUGUUGUGGAAAGCCAUCUGCUUCAUUUGGUUUUGCCAGUAUGCACUGCUUUAAAAAAAGUGGGGAAAGGGAGGUCUGUGGAUUCUUGAGGGGUUGCAUAGCUCAGAGUAUGGGUAUCUGGUCAUGGAAACUCACUUUAAAUGGAUACGAUCUAAUUGUGUUUGGAAAUGGAAAAAAAAAGUCAUUGUCACUUGUUUAAUUACUGAUCUGACAGAGUACAGUGACUGCUAUUAACUUUAUUUUGUGAGAGUAUAUUAUCAACAUCGUAAUAAGUUGUUUUGUAAAAAUUGAAUUUACAAUUCAAUUUCACAAGUAUAACCUGCAUUAUUCAGCUACUGAAUAAUUUGAUCCCUGCAUUCUUUGGUGGUUUCAUUGAUGCGUUCAAACUAAGAUAACAUUUAUAUGUGCAAUUAACUGUCCUGUUACUCCUCAGACUCCGGAAAAUGUUGGUUUCAAGUUCUAGAAGCACCACUUUUAUGUUCUUAAUCCCUAAAUAUUCACUCCAAAGUAAAUAAGUGGCCUCAUUAUUCUUCCUGGCUUCUUUGUUUUGAAAGAAAGAUUUGAGCUGCAAGGUUAGAAUGAAAUGUAGUUCGCUAUACUUAAAUACACAAUGUCAGAGUUUGCAAGUAUAUCUACAACCACAUGUUCUUGUAAAGUUUCCCGUCUAGGGUUUUGACAUAACAGUCUUAGUCAACCCGAGGUGAAUGAGUAAAAGUAACCAGAUGUACUCAAUAAACAGUCUAACAGGAAAAGAAGAAGAAACAGGGAAUGCUAUUCCUGUAUCAAAAGAUAUUUUCUCCUUAGUGGUCAUCUUGGUGAUUCUCUCCCAGGUGUAGUAAGAACUACUGAGUGAUAGUGAUCAUGCUCUUGUCAUAAACACUGUAAUUUAAUGGUUAAAAGAAUACCCUACCACCAUGCAACUUAUUUUCUAUGGCAAGGCAAGGAGAAAGAACCAGGUGGAAGGAAUUCCAAAGUCAGAACAGACACAAAGAUUCACCGUUAUGUAUGAGUCAGUUGACUAUAAGGACAAAAGUGCAAUAAACAGUCCUCUGAAAAAGGCUCAGGGGUGAGAGUCCAAGUGAGAGAAUUAUAAGUGUAGUGAGUGAAGAGGAAAACUACCAGUGUCUGCUCAGAAAUGUUUGCUUUGUUACAGAACAGAGGUUUCCAGGUAGCUCCUGCAUUCCUUAGCCAUAAUAAUAAGAGAUCUACUUUCAAAAAAUCAUGUAGUGAGACAAAGUAGGAAAAAAGAGAUGUCAGUGACUUGAUGGCUCAGUCAGUACUUAAGAAAACAUGCCACUUGUGAUUCUGUUUCUUGGUCAUUGGCCCCUAUGCUGCUAUCUAACCUUCAUACUAAGAGCUUCUGAUGGAUUAUAAAUGAGUUGUUUUUAAGGUAUUUUAAAUAUUCCUUCUUGAAGAACAUGUUCCUUUGAACUUCUCUCAUUUUGAUAGCAAUGAGAUUCAGGGUUACCAUGGCCUUACUCAUAAUCCCAUUGUAAAUAAAUCAUGACAUCACAAAAGCCUCUGUGUUCAGAUUCACUGAACAGGUUUAAGCUUAAUCUUUUAAAUGCAACUUUAAUCUUUUAAAUCUAGAUCCCACCAGUCACUUGGUCUAUGUAUCUAUCCCUUAAUUGGAGAAAAACAGUUGUUGUUCAAAUGAUUUGCUGACAAAUGGAAAUAAAAAGUAAUGGACUACAUUUUUCAAUACACACACACACACACACACACACACACUACUGUGACACAGACAGCCCUAAAGUUUAAAUUUUUCCUCAUGACUAAGUUUCUUCUCAUUCAGGGGCAUUUAACAUCUGAAUUUUCCAAAUGAUUUGCUGAACCAUCUUCACUAAAUGGACACUAAAGAAGUUACCGAGAAGUAAUGAUUAUCCACAUGGAUGUGUAUAUCCCCCCCAAAAGGUAAAGGAGUAGAUUUGAUCUUUGUGAUGUCAAACAUCAGGAUAUCUGGGAAAGCCCACAUGUUUGAAUCAUAGAGUUUUUCCUGUUGUCUGGACUGUCCAGAGAGACAGAAAAUGCUCAGGUGUAGGUAAUGCAGUUUAAUUUUCAUUUGUAGUACUCGAUUAGUGAUGAUAUUUUGCUGUCAGAAAUCUCCUUGUUGUGCAAAGAGAGACAGAGAAAAUACUAUUUAAAUUUUGUUUACUUUGAGGAAACAUAUGAAUGGAAGGGCAUUGGGAAAACUGCUCUGUGUGUACUCAGAUUUGAUUGCAAUGCAGACCUUGAGAGGGUCAGUUCUGUUGGUCAGCCACUUGGUGAUUCCCAAGCAAGAAAACAUUUUAUUCAGAACUUUUCCAUCUCUGAUAAUUUUAUAACUUCCUAUCAACCCUUUACAAAACCUUAGUAAUUCCCAUGGUCAAUUUGAUUUAAUUUUUCAAAAUAAAUACAAGUGUUUGAUAGUUUUUUGCUUAAGUGCAAAGUUUUGAUUUUUAAGACCUAAAUCAUUUAAGUAUAUAAUUUGAUCUGCUUGGUGGGAUUAUUUUAUGAUUGAAUUUUAUGAUAUCCAUAGAUGGAAAAGCUACUUUUCUCAAAUUAAACUAUAUGUUUGGUUUGUUAAUGUUAUUCUGAUUGCUAAGGUCUAACUGGUUGUGACAUACUGGAAUAUUUGUGUUUUCUUUGCAAUCAUAGGAAAAAAAAAAAAGGAAAGGAUAGCCUUAAAUGGAAAUUCACUUUCCAACAUUUGUAUUUAUGACUAUUUGUCUACAUUUUUUCUUAUGUCUUCUGGUUUGGCUCCAGAUUGGUGAAAGAGUGUCGUUUUUCUCAUUGUGUGUUUACCUCAUUUACUGUUCUGAUGCCGGGCAGAAAAAUAGACAAACUCUUCAGACCAAUGUUCUUUUUCAAGUGCUCUUGUGUUGCAUAACUUGUUGGAGGCACUGGCCAUAAACAGACUCACAGGGCACUGGAAAAUAAGUCAGCUAUGCAAAGACUAUUUAAUCUAACUGGUUUGUAGCAUCUUGGCUUAUGUUCUGGUUAUGUCAAAUUCUACAUUUAGUGCCAAAUCCAAGGAUAGAAAGCUCCCUUCCUUUCUGAGUCUUUCUCUUCAGAUGCUAAAGUUUCCCCUAAAUUAAAUGAAUACCCCACCUUGAAUAACAAGACACUGUUGUCAUUGGUCUGUGCCAAUUGUCAUCCAUGAUGGCUCCUUUGGAGGCCAGAUCUUGUUUGCUUGCUCAUACACCUGCUAAAGUCUCCAAGAACAUAAAGCAAGUCCUUCCAGACACUGAUGUUCAUACCCAUUCAUUUUAGCUUCACUUUUCUUCUUCCUGAGAUUUUUCACUUCACCAGAUCUCUUUACUCUCAUGAUAUUAACAGAAUAUUUGGGUUUAUUGACAACCAAGAGGCAACCAAUUAGCAAAAAUCAUUAGAUAUUUUUCAAUUAUCUUUUUUUUUACUUGACAAUUGAAUGAAAAUUACACUUUAGUAGAAAACCUCCCUGUGUUGAGUAUAAGGACUAUUUUAAAUAUGCUUAACUAUACUCAGUGAAACAAUAUCUUUCUACAUUAUGAAUUGCAUUCCUUUCUGGAGACAAGGAUGUGAAGGUGGGGUCUAGUGAUGGGAACACAGGGUCUGAUCAUCUGGAACCCCUCAGAGUCCUCAUUAUUGAUGGCCACAUCAGUCUCAGAAAUUCACUCUCAGCCUCAUCUUCCCACAUUUAAAAGAGAUAAUACUUAUAUACCUACCUCAUAGUGGUAUUGUGAAGGUUACUUAGACUCUGUAAGUGCUUUGACACUUGACAACUAGUAUUAGCACAAAGGAGAACCAUGUGUGGCCCAGAAGUCAGCUGUCAUUGAGGAUAGAGAUGCCUCAGUAGCACAACAGCAAUAACUCACCAAGCAAAGAAUAUGAUUUUUCUUGGUCACCUAACAAAAGGGAAAUUUUCUCCUUCAAAGGUCGAAAUUUUCUCCUUCAAAGGUCUAUGUAGAGCUUUUUAAUUCUCGCUUUUUAAUAGGAAGAUUCCUUUCAUACAAAUGUUGAGAAGCUUCAUAUAGAUGACAACUUCCUCAUAGUCAAACUGAAUUCUACUAUUUAUCAGCUGUAUCCUAAAACAGGGCUUCUUCUGAUGCCUAAGAAAUUUGCAUGCCUGGUUCCAAAUUACAUAUUCCAGAGUGCAUGCAUGACACUCAAGUCACUACUAACAACUGCCAAUGGGGUGUUCUUAAAUCUACUACUAAAAUAGGAAAGAUUCAAUAGGCAUUACCUGGAUCAUAUUAUUAAAUAUUUAAUUUAUUUAGUUUUAUUUUAAUGCGAAGAUAAAUAUAUACAGAGAGAAAGACACCCAAAGCAAGACCAGAACACUGGCUGGUGGUCAUGCGGCUGAAUCUGGAAUAUUAGAGCUUCAGGUGUAAAAUUCUUUUUCAUAAUCAUUGUGCUGUCUUCACAGACCACUGGAAUCAUAUUUUGUGUUAUUCACAAUGAAAUAUUUUUCACCCCUAAAAGGAUACACCUCUCCUGUUACUACCUAGUCAAUGAAUGCAAUGCCUUAUUUCUGCCUGAAAUUCCUUCGUUUUUCAGAAGAUAAAUAUAUUUUAAAUAUUCCAGAAAAGUAUUUGCAAAAGGACUUCUUCUACACAUUUACACACACAUAUAUACUAGGCACUGCUAAAGGACCAAGGAAAUAAUGGGAAAGCAAUCUAUGUGAUUUUCCCUAGAAGUAGCAAAUUUUCUCUUACCAGAAUAUCAAGCCCCUAUAAUAACUAGCCCUAAAUAACAUGAUUUAAUUUUUACAUAUUUACCCUAUUCUAACCAUGGAGACAAUAUAAGAGUACACCAGUGAAACUAUACUAAUGAAGUAGAUAAUGUUAUCAUGAGGUGAUUUAAUGAGGCAAAGCUGCAUAUAUAAAUAUUGUCAUUGUGCCCUUAUUUAAUAAUUACAUUGCUAAAGAAAAAAAAUCCAUUCAUUUAAAAAUGUGAAAAAGGGUUUCAGAAAGUUUAUCUUGUUAAAUGAGUUUAAAACCAUAUGACACCUGGUACUGAUGUGAUGUACACAGUCAGCAUAGCCUCUCCCAGUUUCUAAUAUUCAAUAUAGCAGUGGCGUAUCAAAAUCUGAAUAUUUCAAAUUUGGUAAAAAUUUCUAAUAAAAAGUAUUAAACUUUCAGAAGCAUUAAUUUAUCAUGGGAAAACAUCUGAUCCAUUUAAUAGAUGUACGUUACCACAUCAGAUUUAAGAUGAUAAGUAUUUGUAUAAGUUCUCUAUAGAGUACUGUAUGUGAGUCAAAAUAGCUUGGACUUCCCUGACUUUUUCUCCCAGCACCUAGUAUCAGAACUUUUCCAACCAAAAGUACAGCAGAAUAUUCACGUUGUGAUAAAGGGAAAUAGUCACAUAGCCCUUUGGUUUUUGCACAAGAAAACUGUGGCUGACUAGACUCAAUGUAGGGGAUCAAGAAGAGUGAAGCCAGUUUUCAGUUGAGUUAGUUAAACUCAGAGGAGGGUGAUGGGAAGAAGAUGUCAUUGAGAGAUUUUACCUGUUAGUUAGAAAACUAAAUCUAAAAGUGUUGAAACAAGAGAAGACUUUGCACUGUUAGAAUACAUAUCCUUUACCAAAUAUAAAAACAAGUGGAGAAAACAUUGUGUUAUAUUGUAAACUAUGUGUCCAGUUACUGAGGAAGAGAAGUUUUGAAACAUUCAUGUGCUUUAUUAUUUCUAAAAACUUUUCAGUUCAUGUGAAACUCUCUAAAAUCCUCCACAGAAAUGAGUCUAUUAAAAAAAGAAAAAACUAGUUUAUAGCAAAGACAUUGUGAUUACCCUGCUAUGGACCAAUCAUGUAAUCAUCAUAUGGGACACUGUGUAAAUCUAAUUGUUCACUUUCACAGCUACUUCCAAUUAACAUUCUAUUUCAUAAACAAAUGGUGAAAGAAAGAAAGGAAGGAA